rnacentral:rRNA from 1 species
AAAAUUUUAAAGGGCCGCGGUAUUCUGACUGUGCAAAGGUAGCAUAAUCGUUAGUUUUUUAAUUGGAAUCUUGUAUGAAUGGUUUGACAAGAAAAAAACUGUCUUUAUAAUUAUUUAUUGAAUUUAACUUUUAAGUGAAAAGGCUUAAAUAAAUUAAAAAGACGAUAAGACCCUAUAAAGCUUUAUAUUAAAUUUUCAUUUAAUUAAAUUUGUAAAAAAUAAAAAUUUGAUGAUUAAAUUUUAUUUUAUUGGGGUGAUAAUGGUAAAAUGAUUAUUAACUGUUAAUUUUUAUAUACAAAAAUAUGUGAAUAAAAUAAGAUUAUAUAAAUGAUCCUAUUUAAAGAUUAAAAGUUUAAGUUACUUUAGGGAUAACAGCGUUAUUUUUUUUGAGAGUUCUUAUCGAGAAAAAAGUUUGCGACCUCGAUGUUGAAUUAAAAAAUCUAUAUAAUUGUAGCAGUUAUAUAAGAAGGUCUGUUCGACCUUUAAAUUUUUACAUGAUUUGAGUUCAGACCGGCGUGAGCCAGGUCGGUUUCUAUCUUUUAAUAUUUAAUAAUUAUUUUAGUACGAAAGGAUUGAAUAAUUAAAAUUGUUUUUAAUUAGUUGGAUUAAA